rnacentral:lncRNA from 1 species
AAAUACAAAAUUAGAUAUUGCAUCUAGCCAUAUAAUCAAUACACUUCAAUCUUUUGUAGCCAAAAUUCAUUGUGCUUGCACUUUUCAGGAGUAAAUCUGACCAACUAGUAGUCAGAUUUACAUCCUUAAUGUCGCUUCAACCUGAAAUUCCAUUUCUCGAAUAGAUGUCCCUCAACAAAUAUAGCAUCACUAUGAAUAGCAUCAAAGACUAGGAAAGAAGGAAUUCUAAAUAACAUGCUCAAUCAAACUAAAUUAUGGCAUAAACAAUCAAAACAUUAAUUUAGAAGGACAAACGGGAACAAAUCUAGAUAACACUAAUACAUAUAGUCAAAAUCUGAUCCUUAAAACAAACAAAUACAUUACUCAAACAUGGACUAAACAAGAAAUUUCUUUCAAGGAUAAGUAUAAAGGUACAUCCACAUACCUAAAGGCAGAAAAAAGAAGAACAUCAGAAAACCAAUUAAAUGUCAAAACAAUUAAGUUUGGAGCUCAACCAAGCUUUAAACAACACAGCAUGAGCAACAACAGUAAAUCCCAAAAGAAAACUUCACAUUCAAUCCAUUUUCAACUUAUGAAAGCUAGAAAAUGCUACAGAAUUUCUUUAAGGUUUUUCUAAAAUCAAAGGAAAAUAGAAUCAGCUCUUAAAGAAACUGAACUUUUUAGAGUAUAUUUUAGGGUUCUCAAAUCUGAUGUGU